UACAGAGGUCCCAAGCGUUGUUCGGAUUCACUGGGCGUAAAGGGUGCGUAGGUGGUGAGGUAAGUCGGAUGUGAAAUCUCCGAGCUCAACUCGGAAACUGCAUUGGAAACUGCCUUGCUCGAGGGUUGGAGGGGGGACUGGAAUGCUUGGUGUAGCAGUGAAAUGCGUAGAUAUCAAGCGGAACACCAGUGGCGAAGGUGAGUCCCUGGACAACUCCUGACACUGAGGCACGAAAGCUAGGGGAGCAAACAGG
rnacentral:rRNA from 1 species